GACAAACACAAAAAUGACACCCAUGAUCUUGCUUUGUUUGUACAUUAAGCAAUCUUGUGCAAUUCACAUUUUCAAUGAUUCUGUCUGCAGUUUGAACAUUGCAGCACUUGACAUGUUGGAGUUCAUGAUGCCCCUCAUCAGUGAUUUAAAUCCACUUAUGAAAGAAAUAUAAUUACAUAACUUUUGCCAUUCUCUUUAAUUUGC